UACGUAGGGUGCAAGCGUUGCUCGGAAUUAUUGGGCGUAAAGAGCGUGUAGGUGGCUGAGUAAGUCGGAUGUGAAAUCCCUGGGCUCAACCGAGGAAGUGCAUUCGAAACUACUUAGCUCGAGGAUGGCAGAGGAAGGUGGAAUUCCAAGUGUAGAGGUGAAAUUCGUAGAUAUUUGGAGGAAUACCGGUGGCGAAGGCGGCCUUCUGGACCAUUCCUGACACUGAGACGCGAAAGCGUGGGGAGCAAACAGG
rnacentral:rRNA from 1 species